GAAUCUGAAUCUUAUUUUUAUCCACCUCUUCAGGGAAAGCAUAGAAAGGAAGAGGUGUCUUUCCCUUCAUCUUUGUCCUCUCCCUAUCUUCAACUUCAGGGGAAGAAUUUGGAUUUUGAGUCUAUAUCUAACAAUAAUACUCAGAAGGAGUCACCUAAAUCUCAAGGGAGACUGAAUAGGCCAGAUUUAAGAAUAUAUACUCGGCGGAACAAGACAAAUAUAGCCAUCGUAUGAGACUGAUGAUCAAUCGGAAUCCCUGGAUUCAAUUCCUG
rnacentral:misc_RNA from 1 species